GAAAGAUGAAAAGGACUUUGAAAAGAGAGUCAAAGAGUGCUUGAAAUUUUUGGGAGGGAAGUGGAUGGGGGUCGGCGGUAUGUCUCGGUUUGAUGUGGAACGGUGUUAGCUAGUCUGCCGAUCGACUCGGGGCAUUGACCGAUGUGGAUUGUGAUGGUGGCCGAAGCUCGGGUUGUUGAAAUGUUCAUGGAGACUUCAUCGUCACGAUUGUGGAUGGCAGCAUAUCCAUUAAUUCACUAGUCACUUUCGACAUACCCAAUUAAAUGCUCUUAAGGGUGAGCUCACACAUCACGCUUAAGUCUCUAACCUCCUCAAUCAAAUCCAACCCUUACAUCAUCAAAAAUGA
rnacentral:ncRNA from 1 species